UUCAAUCUGUUUCUUGAGUUCUUCAGUUUGUUCCUUCAGCCCCUUGUUCUGCUGCUCCAGCUCUUCAGCCUGCUUCUUGAGUUUUUCAAUGGUUUCUUGAGCUUGGAGAAGGUCUUCAGCAACCUUCUUGGAUUCUUCCUGCACCUGGCCCAAUUCAGCAGCGAUUUUCCCCUUCUCUAUGUUGGCUUCAGCAAGUUUCGCC
rnacentral:lncRNA from 1 species